GACCUCGUAGCUCAGCUAGUAGAGCGUACGCUGUACAAAAGCGUAGGCGGCGUCCAUGCGUGGGUUCGAAUCCCACCGAAGCUA
rnacentral:tRNA from 1 species